rnacentral:rRNA from 1 species
ACUCAAAGGAAUAGACGGGGGCCCGCACAAGCGGUGGAUGAUGUGGAUUAAUUCGAUGCAACGCGAAAAACCUUACCUAGCCUUGACAUGUACGGAACCUUUUAGAGAUAGAGGGGUGCCUUCGGGAGCCGUAACACAGGUGCUGCAUGGCUGUCGUCAGCUCGUGUCGUGAGAUGUUGGGUUAAGUCCCGCAACGAGCGCAACCCUUGCCACUAGUUGCUACCAUUUAGUUGAGCACUUUAGUGGGACUGCCGGUGACAAACCGGAGGAAGGUGGGGAUGACGUCAAGUCCUCAUGGCCCUUAUGGCUAGGGCUUCACACGUCAUACAAUGGUCGGUACAGAGGGUUGCGAAGCCGCGAGGUGGAGCCAAUCCCAUAAAACCGAUCGUAGUCCGGAUUGCACUCUGCAACUCGAGUGCAUGAAGUCGGAAUCGCUAGUAAUCGCGGAUCAGCAUGUCGCGGUGAAUACGUUCCCGGGCCUUGCACACACCGCCCGU